rnacentral:ncRNA from 1 species
GAGGGCGGGCCCCUCGGAGCCGCCGUGCAGGCGGAGGCUUCAAACCACCUACUGCUGCUGCACUUAAAAGGUGUGGUAGUGAGCGAGUAUGGAAAAGGCCGGUCAAGAACCGGUCAGGU